ensembl:lncRNA
GGAAACCGGGAGGUGUGGCUGAGGCAGGCCAUGGAGGGGAGUUCAACUAAAAAGUGGUGGAGGGGAAUCCUGCUCUGGACCUCUCCGGCUCCCCCAAAUGUUGGGGACCAGUUUCUCGGGGCUGAAGGAGACAAGCGAGCGGGGAGCUACCUGGGAGGAGCAUUUCAGGGCUGAGGGCUUGAAAAAGCCUUGGGUCCUCAUUGCCUGCUGGGAGCCUGGGGUUCGGGCCCAGCCUUGGGACAACAGUUAUUCUGGAUGCUAUGUGGAAAAGAGACUGCAGAGGGGCCAUUGUGGAAAUAGUGAGACCAGCUAGGAGGCUUUUAAAGUAAUAUAGGCAAAAGAAGAUGAUACCUUCGGCUUAUUUGGAAGUAGUCAGGGUGAUGAGAAAAUAAAUGGCCUUGAAUGUGGAUCUUUGUUCACAUGUACAAGUGUUACAUUGUAGAAUCUAAAGUCUAAGAACUAGAAAUGGAAUCAUUGAACAAUAACACCCUAGUAGCAACAAGCACAGCCAGCCAGCACCCAGAUCUCUGGUUCUAAGUCCAUUCUCCAUUAAGAGAAACCAGGCCUCUUGGAAAAAUGGCUGAUUCCAGGGCUGCAGCAGGGAAGACACAAGAUAAGCCUGGAACAACGUGUACCAGAAAAUAAAGGACAGCUCAAAAAUGUCAAAAGAAUAAAGGAGCCAGCUUGAAGGGACUUCCACUGAUCAAAUCAAGGACAAUUUAAGCAUCAAAACAAAUGAUCACAGUAGCAGAUUAUAACCUACUGAAUAGAAUAAGGAUCCGUAAGUGCAUACUCACAUUAACUAAAGAAAUAAAUAUGAAAGGAAAGCUCUUCCUAACAGUAAAAGGAAUAAUGAAAUUGGAAAGAUGACCAUUCUCGACCAUCAUUGUAAUAACUGAUUCAGCCCCAGUGCAUGGUUGUAUCUCCUACUUGUAAGUCAUUCUCAUUCUAGUUCUUUUACGUGAGCCACUGCCACAGCAUGGCAACUGACAGACAGGUGGUGUGGUUCUGCGACCUGGAAGCAAACCCGGGCCACCAAAGUGGUGAGUGCCAAACUUUACCCACUAGGCCAUCAGGGCUGGCUCGAUUUUAUGUUUUAACCUUGGAGAAUUGUCUGCAUGCUGGUAAGCCUCCUCAAAUCCUUUUUGGAAACAAGGCAGGUCUCAAGUAAAUCAUGAGUCCCACACUGAAUAAGAUGUGUUCUGUGUCCCCUUCCCUCUCUAUCCUCUGAGUCCAGACCCCUGAAGUCUCCCAGCUUCCCCCAUCUCUGAACAACUUCUGCACUGCUCACAGACACUCCCCCCAAGGCUUCCACUUAUGCCUUGAAAUGCCCACAGGCUGCAUACAAGUUUACCUCUAUCCCCCAGGCCUGGUGAGGGAGGGCAGCCCCUGAUUACAGGCUUUUUGAAGAAGGUGCUGUCACUCAGCCCAGCCUAGCAUGCCACACACGUACUUCCAACCCCAGUGCAUGCUCUCCAGGCCCUGUAGACGUAAGGGAGCCCUGCAGGGAGCCUAGAUGCUUCCUUCUUUGAACUGAACCCUUAGAAGCUUAGAACUCAUAAAACAUCUGGGCUGCCAGGGACCUUACUGUUCACCUGCCCCAACCCCCUCGAUGUACAUUAUGCUUGGAAACCAAGGCCAGAGAGAAGGAGUGACUCACCCAAGGUCACACAGUAGGUGAGAAUCCAGAGCUCCUAGAUCCCAGCAGGGCUUGGACCACCAAACCCUGAUCCUGAUGGCCUCUUCCUCCUGGCCCCAGUGUUACCCAACCCUGGCAUCUGGUCUGGAGCCCUUCACUCAAUAAACCCUGACUGACAAAUUUUAAGUCCUAUCCUACCUCCCAACUGGAUAGCUCACAUUCUACUUAAGGGAGGAUAAUAAGAAUCAUAACAACCUCACACACUUAACUGAGAACCUACUAUGUGCAGGCACUGAGCUAAAGCCCUGUAUGGAAACUAUCAGCUCACUUAGUUUAAUGUUCACAAAAGCUUGAUGUGGAUAUAAUUAUUACAGAUGAGGAAACUGAGGGCUAUAGAGGUUAACAACUUACCCAAGGUCACACGUGGAAAAUGCAACUGGGAAAUCUGAUUAGCUUUAACCUCUAGGCCAAAGUGCCUCUCAUAUACAUGAGACACACUCAGCAAAAUGCAAGGAAAACUUAUUGAACAGCUACUAUGUGCAGAACCCUGGGCUAGAUAUUAUGGGGCUCAUGAAUCGAGCCCCACUGGAGAGGAGUGGGGGGAUUUGCAGAAGAUAAUAUGUACCGCUGGGGAGUUGAGAGAGGCUUCUUGGAAGAGGCAUCUGAGAGAGGCUUUGAAGGAUGUAUAGGAUUCCAACGGAUAGUGAUGGGAAGGAGGUGUCCCCAGAAGAAUUGAGGAAGGGUCAGCAUGAGUACAAGCAUGGAGGGCAGGUUACGAGCAGGGAGCAAUGGAAGAUCAGGCUUCUAAGUGGAAAAACUUUAAUGGCAAGGUAAGGAGGUUUGGGGAGCCAUCAAAGUCUUUGAGCAGAAGAGUAACCCAAGUUGCAGUUAUUAAAAGAUCUGCCCAGUGGCAGGAUGGGUGCCUGGAGGAGCGCCUUGCUGGGAUGCUAUGAACCUGAGCCAGCGGCUUCCCCCUGACCUCAGUAUUGAUGGUGUAGCACAGCCGGGCACCAGAACUGAGUCCCUAGGGCAUUUGCUGGAGCUCACAGCCUAUGGAAUUCAGUUCUCAGAGCCAGGUGGCCAAAGUUCUCUCAGUCUUGAUGCUGCCCUCCCAUGCUCUCUUCUGGGAAUUUUUCCCAUUUCCAGGAUGGGUCAGAUGAGGAACCUGGGAUUCCAAGAUUCCUCCUAUCCCAGGGAGGGUCUGAGCUUGGACCUGAAAAUAGGGCCCCACAGUUAGGGAAAGGGCAAGGGUUCUCUAAAUUCCAACAGGAAUUGAUGUAGGACAUGAGGGGAGGGGGCUCAGGGGCUCAGGUAGGGAUUCCAUAGGUACUUGGGAGUUAGUCCCAUCAUCUCCUGCCCAGACGUGCUCCUGGUGGAGCCAGAUGUCGAGCUGGAGGGGCAAAGGACUGGGGGAAGAGCCAGAACAUGUACACUGAGAAGGGCAUCUCUCCAGAGGCUGAGGGGCUUCCUGAGCCAAAGGGGACGCCAAAAAUGUGGAUCCCCAACAUAGGGGCCCAGGAGUCCCAGCUCCCUGAAAAUCUCCACACCUGAAGGGAAAAUCUGAAGUACCUGGAAUAGGCAGGGCAGUGGAAGGGAAGAUUUCCCGAAACACACUUUCACUUUCUGGAGAGUUAAACUGAGGGCUGCGGUGCUGUUCCCACUCACAAGGCAGAGCCUAUCCCUGGAGAGGGAAAGGCAAGCCGGCAGGCUCAGAAGCCACCCUACCCCCACCCUGCUUGAGUUGGGAGAAAGGGGGUCGCACUUACCAGUGAAGGCUCCUCUCGCUCUUGGGGCUGGAUCUGCAGUGAUGCUCUCAGAGAGUGCUCCUUAAAUAGGGCCCCCACCCCGCCCCAGCCAACUCCCACCCCUGCCCCAUCCUGGCUCUUCUGAGAAAGGAGGAAGGUGUGGGAGGGCUGGGCACCCUGCCCAAAGAGCCCUUUCUGACCUCAAGCAAGAGGGGGGACACUUCUCCAGCACCCACCCCCCCAUCCUUCGAAGAAUCCUCUUCCUCAACUCAGUCACUGACUGAGUUCCUCCCACCCGUUGAGACCAGCCAGCUGGCUUCUUUCUCUGCUCUUAAUGUCUGAGAAAUCUGCCCUUUAUGCCUACUUCGAGCCUAAUUUCUCUCUGAGGUUGGAUGGUGAGGCGUCGGUGUGCACGGGGAAGCUUCAGCAUAGGCUUCUAGCUUUUCCCCUCAGAUGAGGAGACCCAGGCUCCCAAACACCAGCUGCAGAAUUCCUUUGAGGGAAUGGAGAGAGAGGAGCCAUCAUGGACCUCCUUUCACCCCGUGUGGCUUCAAGCAGCACUCAAAGGGCAAGUGGAGUCUAUUCCUGUCUUGGGGAGGGAGAGACUAAGACCCAAGGGGAUGGAAAAUCAACGGCUUAAGGUCUGGCCAGCUGUGGAAUGCCAAGCAGGAGAGUGUUCCCUGGAGCCCCUACCUUAUAGUCUGUGUGUGUCCUUGUGUCUGUGGUGGUCCCUCUCCUUAGCCCACCCUCUCUCCUCUGACCCCAGAACCUGACCCCUGCUGCACAGAGUUGGGACCCUCCAGAGUUUGAGUUGGAAGUUGAGAGGCUCCCCCUAAGUGAUCUUUCCCAUCAUCCUUCCCCAAAAGCUCGGGAAGUUCUUUCCGAUGAUGUUAUCUAGCUACAUCCAACUGGCAUCCAAGAAACAGGCAGUCGGGGAGGAGGGAAAGGCGCAGUGUCAGCGAUGGCUGCAGGGGUCUUGGGCCAGAACUAGGGACAGUUCUAGUGAGGAAACCUGAAAUUUCCCGUAAUGAGGGUGGUAGGGAGAGAAGAGUCAUCGGUAUUGUGCAAUGGAGGGGGAGGAGGCUGGGGGGCUGGGUGAGGGGAGGAGUGGCCAUAUCCUUAGAGGGCUGGCAGAGGCCCGGGCCUGACUGAACUACCCAUCACCCCCUUCCCAGGGGCCUGCCUGGCCAGAGUUCAAAGUGGCUGUUACCCCACCCCUCAUUAACCCCAGCAGCGCCAGGCUGGCAGCACCAGUGUGUUUUUAUGGGAGACGCGACGCCAAACGGGCUCCUUCCUUCCUCCCUCCCCUUUCCUGCCUCCUCUCCUCAGCAGCCAACAUCUUGCUCUCUCUGAGGCCAGAGGACCCUGGUGGGGAGGUGGGAGCCUGCAGUGAGGGACAGGACUGGAGGAGGGAGCAGGGAUCCCCUUUUUCUCCAUAUUUUGGCACUGCCUCAGUCCUUAGGGGAAAGGAUGCAACUUUCUACCUUGGGCUGUGGGCUCCUAAGGGCAGGCACAGUCUCUGAGUCCCCAGCACCCUACAAGAGGACUAGCUCUGAAGAGGGAUUCAUCCCUGCUGAUUGGAGAUGAACUAGCUUAUCCUUUAAGGGAAUUCUUUUCCUCACAACCCACUGUGGGCUUCCCCUCAGGGUAGAACCAGGAAGUUGAGGUGGCAGGAACAGAAAAGAGGAAGCUGAGGCCUGCUGGGUCCUGGAGUUCAGCUGCCCUGUUUUAAAUGAGAAGCCCCACCAACAUGGGCAUGAAGGCACUGGGGUAGGCAUGGCCUGCAGGCCAUCCAGGGUCUGGGCUCAGGUGCAUCCUCACUCAGAGCACCUGCUGCCCUCCCUCCAUCCAAACCAGGCUCCAUGGUCCUGAGACUGAGGAUGGAGUUAGAAUUUCCCUGGAUUGUGGUGAAACUGUGCCUUGUACCCACAAGAUUAAGGGAAACAAAAUAACCAAGGUUUCUGAGCUUGCCUUGCAGAACAGCAGGAGGACCGCUGAUACCAGAGGAACUUGCUGACAGCCUCCUGCCUGCCUAAGCCUCUUGCCCGAGCAUUGAGAAGCUAAAAUGACUGAUUGUAAACUUUAAACUUCAAAGACCAAAACUCCACUGUGUGCAACACAUAGAACAGAUAGUCAUGCCUGUGCAGAAGACUCAGAACUUCAGCGCCAAGGCCACGUGCUCCCCCUCCCCUACCUGAAACCCCAAAUAAAAACCCUUGUCUGUAACUUUUCGGGGAGUUCAGGAUUACAGCAUUAGCUGCCUGUUCUCCCUGCUCAGCACUUUGCAGUAAAAUUCCCACUUUCUUCCACUACACCCUGUGUCAGAGAUUGGCUUGCUGCGCAAUGGACUGGCCCAGAACUAACAUCUGCUGCCAAUUCUCGUCCUUUUGCUGAGGAAGACUGGCCCUGAGCUAACAUCUGUGCCCAUCUUCGUCUACUUUUUAUAUGUGGGACUCCUACCAUAGCAUGGCUUGACAAGCAGUGCCAUGUCCUCACCCGGGAUCUGAACCGGCAAACUUCGGGCCGCCAAAGGGGAACGUGCGAACUUAACUGCUGCGCCACCGGGCCGGCCCCUGGAUGGUAUAAUUUCUGAAGGAGUUCUAUUUAAUUGGCUUGAAGUCAGCACUUAUAUAAAUUUUUUCUAAAUGUUAUAGAAACUAGCCCAGAGGUCUUUCAAGUUAACAUGAUAUAAAAUGAUCUUUGGCAAAUAAGAGCUUGUUUAAGUUUGUUGGUUUAAUUGAAAUAAAUGUGAUUUCAGCGUUAUCAACAUUGGAUAUGAUACAAACAUGUUAUCUCUAUUACAAAAUUUGUCAGCAAAAAAUAAUAACUUAGUAUAAUAGUUAAUUUUGUUUGAUGUCUCAUGAGGUUUUUGUAGGCAACCUAAAUAUAAUUGUUGAGAACAGGUAAACUAAAUAGGUGCAAAAAGGAUGAAAGUUUUUUGGGGAACUUUUUAACAAUAAUUAUGUGUUAUGAUGUACGUAUUUAAAACAUCUUAAAAUGAUGGCUAACUGCUCUAAUGUCACAUGAAGUUUCUGUGAGUAAUCUAAACCUAACUGUUGGGAAUAAAUGACUUAGAUAGAUGAAAAUGGGUAAAAGUUUUUGAGUGCAAUAAUUGUGUUUUAUGGUCUGUGUACUUGAAAAACAGCUUCCAAAAUCUUUUUGGCAACUUGAAACUUCAGAGUUUUGCUAAAUUAAAUAAUAGAAAUUUAUUGAGUAUCUAGGUCAUUUCCAUGUAAUAAAAAAUAUUAGAAAUUGAUUACUAAGCAUAGAUUUGUCUGCCUUUGGUUUCUUAUCUCAGAGAAACUGAAAGAUGCUUAGAUUUACUGAUAAACAUGUUUCAUGUAUGAUGGGGAAUUUUCUAUGAGAAAGUACAUAUUUCCGUAUACAAGGAAAGUAAAAUGUAUAUUUUCAUGAAAGAAGGUAAAAAGAAUAGAGGUAUUUUUCUUAGUUUUCUUAAGAAAGAUAAAUUUGCCCUAAAGUACUAGAAAAGAAAAAAAGGAAAGAAAACAGGGAACAAAUGCUGAAUGUAAAAAGCAAGUGACAGAAGAUUUGUGGACAUAAAACCCUGAGGAAUUUUGUGCAUGGUCAAGCUGGCUGAGAUUUAAAUGAAUUCAAUUAAAUGAAUGAGUUUCAAUAUCAAGCGUAAGCUGGUGAAAAAUUAGCAUUUGGCUUUCUCUCUUUUGAAAGGAUGAUCUUUCUGAACUUUUGGUCUGCUCUUGACAAAGAGGCUAUAAAAGAUUUCUCUUUAUUUUUGAGUGAGUCUACCUAAAAGGCAAAAAAAAUCUAUGUUUUGUUAAAAUAACUUCUUAUCUUCAAAAAGACUGAGGUCUCUUUAUUAAGGUUUUAAAAAAAAUUAUUAAUCUGUUUAAACUCUCUCUAUUUGCCUUUGACAUCUUCUGUUGUCACCUUGAUUGAAUGGAUAAGUAAGCAUUGUUUCCUAUUUGACCAAGUGUUUUAAACCCUUUUGAUAUUUUUGACAAAUUCUCCCAAGGUUCAAAUCCUGGGUAACGUCUUUCUUUUGACUUAAAAAGGAACUUUGAGAAUUUCCAAUGGGCCCUGGGUCUUCUCAAAGAAUGUCUUCUCUCUUUCUAUAAAGAGAGAUAUUAAAAUAAUUAGACCUAUUUGGUGUGUUAAAUUACAUGGGAAGCAUUGUCAUAUAAAUGAUGAUAAACCUUCCUGGCGUUAUUUUGUUUGGGAAAAUGUUAUUAAUAUCAGUGUUUUUAAAAAUUAUACAACAUUCCUAAAAUUCUGACCUGUCUUGGUUAUCAGUCAUAAUUCAGGUUGUUAUCUCAAACUGUUAUAUGUCACAGAAAUGGUCAAGUGUCUUUUGUCAAUUGCCAUUUUUUAAUGUUUCGUUAUUUGCAGACAGUUGUUGUUUUACUCUGAUGUUUUUGCAGAUGUGUUUCAUCUUUAGAGAGAUUCAUGGAAAGGACUCUGACACUUGCUCUAGAAUGCAGGUUUCUGAUAAACUUGCAGAUUAUAAACUGAGCUGGAUAAAAAAUUACAGAACUCUCAUGGAGAAACCAAUGGCCUCGUAAAACUGCUAACAGAAGAUCAGGAUCAAGAAUUAAUUACAAGGGCCAGCCCCAUGGCUGAGUGGUUGGGCUCAUGCGCUCUGCUUUGGCAGCCCAGGGUUUCACCAGUUCAGAUCCUGGGCAUGGACCCGGCACCACUCAUCAAGCCAUGCUGAGGGGGCAUCCCACAUGCAGCAGCUAGAAGGACCCACAACUAAAAUAUACAGCUAUGUACUGGGAGGAUUUGGGGAGAAGAAGGAAAAAUAAAAAAUAAAUUUAAAAAAGAAUUUAUUACAUGAGACUGAAUAAAUUGAUGAGUCAUAAUUUUUAUGACUUUUUGUUUGAAAUAUGCUGAUUUCUUAAUGUUUUGUUUUUUCAGAUUUAAGAAAAUCUUUUUUUCUUUUCACUCUUUUCUUUUUUUUUAAGAUUUUAUUUUUCCUUUUUCUCCCAAAAGCCCCCCAGUACAUAGUUGUAUAUAUUAUUUAGUUGUGGGUCCUUCUAGUUGUGGCAUGUGGGAUGCCACCUCAGCAUGGCUUGAUGGGUGAUGCCAUGUCCAUGCCCAGGAUCCAAACCAGUGACACCCUGGGCCGCUGAAGCAGAGUGCGCAAACUUAACCACUUGGCCACAGGGCCGGCCCCUCUUUUCUCUUAAGGAACUAUGCCUUAUAGCAAUUUGUAAGCAGAAUUGAAGCAUUUAUCUCUUUCUCCCUACCUGAUACUUUGAGAAUUUAAAAACUCUUGAUGAGUGAGUAUUCUUAUUUUUAUGGUGAUAUAGGUAUUUACGUAAGUUCAAUAAGAAUCUGUUCUCCUUAUAGUAGGACACAAGUGGAAACACUGGUUAUAUUACCCCGACUUUGACUGGAAUGUCAUAUUUGAAAAAAGUGUAUAAACUCAGAUAUGACCAUAUAACUUUUGAGGAACAAAGGUUGUCUUUAUGAAAUAAAGCCACUUGGAAAUAUUGGCCUGGUACCUUGCGAACAGGAUACCCAGGAACCUUACCAGGUGAGUAAAGAAGGUCACUUCCCUGGCAGGUGCAAGAACCUAAGGAUGUUUGAAGGAUCUCGAGAAGAGAGGAAUUCACCCAAAUCUGUGGGUGUUUCAGGCAGAAUCUGAUGACAAGUCCUUCGCUUGGCUUUCCUGGCCUCAAGAGGCCUUUAAAGUUCAAUCUGAGAUUCCUUACAAAACGUUCCAUCAAAGCAGAUUUAAAGGAGCCUCUAUGAUCAAUUGCUGUUCCUGCUGUAGUUUUGUAAAUGGUUUCAAGUUUACUGAAACUAGACUUAUUUUGUGAACCAAUCAGUCUUAAUUUGACUAUCUUCAGUAAAAAUGAGGGUGAUUUUAGAGAGAAAAAUUGUGUUUCAAUAGAAACUAUAAUACACAUUUGUGGAUAUUAGAUUCUGGUUCUGUUAAUUGUAUUUGAGAUUUUAGUUUUCUAUCUGCAAACUGAAGCUUGACAACUUGAUGUAAACUUAAGAGAGAACACCAUGCUAGCCCAUAUUUAGAAAAUCUUCAUGCCUGUUGCUGUAUAAACCACUCAAAAAGUUUGCCUGAGCACCUGAUGACAUCAUCAGAGACAUUUCAAACUGUAGGGGAUACUUCAACCCUGACAUCUAGAAAUCUUGACGGGUCAUCCCCUGGGCUCAGGAAUUUAUUUAUAAUUUGCUCCACCCAUUAACCUUGUUUUCGUUUUGUUUCUCUAGAAAUGCUUCUUAUUAAGUACCUGGUUACUUGCUUACAGAAUAUAGGCCUAGCUUUGGGAGACCCUUCCUAUGUUCUAGAGAUGAUCCAAAAGAACCAGAGAGAACUCAAAUUAAGGAACUAGACGCUGUCAGAUGUUCCUCUGCAUCAUCUUUGUAGUGGAGACUGAAUCCUAUUAAAGUCCUGAAAACACAAGCACCCAGAAGAUCAACUUCAUCCCCACUGAAUGGGACCAUACAAGAAAUGCCACAAGGGAACAGAAACCAUGCCAUAGAAGAACAUCACAACCAGGAUCACCCAAAUCUUGGCUGGCUUCAUACUCUAGACACUCACUUCUCUGAAUGGACAAAUGAACCUCUGAUAGACCUCAAGUUGCUAUACAGAAGACAGUCUCCUAAAGAUAAUAAAUGACUCUCAGAUUCUUACCUUACUUGUUGGACUACUAAACAGCAUGCUAUUUAGUUACAUCAGAUUUCACUUGAAGUUCCAGGCCCUAACCUUGAUUGGUUUACAGGCCUCUUCUCCUGGAUUCCCCAAGGAGUAAGGUCCAUUGUGGAGGGGAUACUAAAAUUUUGGUUGUGUAUUUUGCUAAUAUGUGUGGUUGUCUAUGUAAUCAUAAAAUGUGGACUUAUGUGUUGUUCUGAAGACAUUGAUCAGAGUAGUAAAAUAUUAGUCAUGCAGAACAUACCUCACUCUCCCCCAUCUGGUACCCAAGAAUAUUUUUUAAAUAAAGGUAGAACAAUUUCAUUUCUCUGACCUCAAACUUUGCCCUUUCACAGCAAGACGCAGCUAGAGCAGUCUUCACCCCCAUUUCCCAAGAUUGAGGAAUGAUCAAAAGAGAGGGGGGCAUUGAAACUGAGGAUGAAGCAGUCAAAAUUUCGCUGGAUUAAGGUGAAAUUGUGCCUUGUACCCACAAGAUUAAUGUGGGAAACAAAAUAACCAAGGUUUCUGAGCUUGUCUUGCAGAACAGCAGGAGGACCGCUGAUACCAGAGAAACUUGCUGACAGCCUCCUGCCUGCCUAAGCCUCUUGCCCGAGCAUUGAGAAGCUAAAAUGACUGAUUGUAAACUUUGGAUGUCACAGACCAAAACUCCACCGUGUGCAACAGAUAAUCAUGCCUGUGCGAGGACUUUUAGAACUUCAGCGCCAAGAACUUCAGCUCCCCCUGCCCUACCUAAAACCCCAAAUAAAAACCCUUGCUUGUAGCUUUUUGAGAGUUCUGGAUUACAGCAUUAGCUGCCUAUUCUCCCUGAUCAGUGCUUUGUAAUAAAAUUCCUACUUUCUUCCAC